rnacentral:rRNA from 1 species
GACAGAGGCCCCGAGCGUUAGGCGGAAUCACUGGGCUUAAAGCGUGUGUAGGCGGCGGCCUAAGUACCUUGUGAAAUCCCACGGCUCACCCGUGGAACUGCUCGGUAUACUGGGUCGCUUGAGCCACUUAGGGGCUACCGGAACAAAUGGUGGAGCGGUGAAAUGCGUAGAUAUCAUUUGGAACGCCAAUGGUGAAAACAGGUAGCUGGGAGUGUGCUGACGCUGAGACACGAAAGCCAGGGGAGCAAACGGG